rnacentral:rRNA from 1 species
AUUGAACGCUGGCGGCAGGCCUAACACAUGCCAGUCGAACGGUAACAGGAAGCAUCUUGCUGCUUUGCUGACGAGUGGCGGACGGGUGAGUAAUGUCUGGGAAACUGCCCGAUGGAGGGGGAUAACUACUGGAAACGGUAGCUAAUACCGCAUAACGUCGCAAGACCAAAGAGGGGGACCUUAGGGCCUCUUGCCAUCGGAUGUGCCCAGAUGGGAUUAGCUAGUAGGUGGGGUAACGGCUCACCUAGGCGACGAUCCCUAGCUGGUCUGAGAGGAUGACCAGCCACACUGGAACUGAGACACGGUCCAGACUCCUACGGGAGGCAGCAGUGGGGAAUAUUGCACAAUGGGCGCAAGCCUGAUGCAGCCAUGCCGCGUGUAUGAAGAAGGCCUUCGGGUUGUAAAGUACUUUCAGCGGGGAGGAAGGGAGUAAAGUUAAUACCUUUGCUCAUUGACGUUACCCGCAGAAGAAGCACCGGCUAACUCCGUG